AUGCCUUAAACUUAUGAAUCCGGAAAAGAACGAUUCAGUGUGACACCCGAAUCCUGGCAGCUAACGUGACACGAACGUCCGAGCGCAUAAAAGUCGCCCCUAAGGUGACAAGGCGACCCGCCUACACGGUGGGAUGCCCGGGAGCUGCGAUCUGCC
ensembl:snRNA U12 U12 minor spliceosomal RNA